UGUAUGUAUGUAUAUAUUAUUAUAUGCUGGUACUUUUAUAACGAAUAUAUCUUCUCUUUGACUGUAUAAAAUGUUAAAAAAGAGUUUUGCAACAUUUACAGAUUCCUUAUUUAGCUUAGAGUAAUAGGAUGUCUUAAAAUGUAUGCUCAGAUUUCGCAUUACAUAAUGUAAAAGAAUAUAUAACGUAGAAUGUAAAAAGAGAGAGAUUAACUUUGUCCGUUCCAAACUAGAAAUUGUUUCCAUAAUAUGCCAACACCUCGAGAUAAGAGACCCCGAAGUCUCCGAAGUCUCUGUAUUGUUUCCAUAACUUAUCAUCACCUCAGAUUAAGAGACCUCCAGAUCUCCGUUGUGUUUUGGAUACAUGUCAUCACGUCUGAUAAGGGACUUCUGUUUGGAACAUGUAGAGACCAUAGUACAUACAUGGUCUGGUUUCAGACACGUACUUCUUUGUCGAGAUAACCACGUGGAGAUUUCAUGAUUUUUCUGUAAAGUUCUGUCAUAUUAGAAGCUUCUAGAAAGAUUGCACCACCUUCCGCGUGUCCAAAACCCAUCAGUCUCUUGAAGUUGCCCAUACAAGGAGAAAGAGAUUCAUUACAGACUUUGAAUUCCUGGCGUUUAGAUAUCUCUCUCUCUCUCUCUCUCUCGCCAUACUUGAUAUUAAUGUAACAUAAAUUGGUCACUCUUAACUUUUAGAUUUUCAGAUUUGAGAUUUCUUAGAGUUAUUUAGUAUUAUUUAGUGGUUUUGUGGAAUCUGAACAAACAUUGUACAAGUGUGUAACGGGGCCUUUUUCUUUUUUGAAAUAUGGUGAAUUGUGCAGCAGAAAGAAAUUGGUACCAAGGAGAACCAGUGGACGCCCCCGUUGGAAUGGCCGCUUGAGUCUGCCCUCCACAGCAGCCCUUGCCCAACACGCCAUCAUGCUGGGCAUCAACGAUGCCCAGCUCCAACUCUCCUGGUGGCUCGUGGGCAGCCGAGUGACCACAGUGGACGCCGGGUGGGCACUGUCACAGCUCCACAGGGUGCAGUUGUCUUUGGCCAAAGGCCUUUACGAGGUCGAGGAACUGACGGAGCUGAGGUCCUCCUUCUCCUACUUCGUCAGGGCUCACGCCGAGCGCCUCAAGGACCUCCACACGGCUUCCCCUCUUCCUCAGGCGUGCUUGCCCAGAGCCAGCUCACUUACACUCUCAAGGCCCUACACAGCUUGCAGACGCACGCGGCCCGUCGCGAGAACUUCUGGACCAAGAAAUGAUUCCUCACAUCCACGAGCUGGUCACUUCGAGUAUCAACACACACGCCAAGAAUUGGUGGACAUUAUUAGUAGAAGAACAA